rnacentral:rRNA from 1 species
UCGGGAAUUUUGGGCAAUGGGCGAAAGCCUGACCCAGCAACGCCGCGUGAGGGAUGAAGUAUUUCGGUAUGUAAACCUCGAAAGAAUGGGAAGAAUAAAUGACGGUACCAUUUAUAAGCUCCGGCUAACUACGUGCCAGCAGCCGCGGUAAUACGUAGGGAGCAAGCGUUGUUCGGGUUUACUGGGCGUAAAGGGCGCGUAGGCGGCGCGGUAAGUCACUUGUGAAAUCUCUGAGCUUAACUCAGAACGGCCAAGUGAUACUGCUGUGCUAGAGGGCGGAAGAGGCAACCGGAAUUCUUGGUGUAGCGGUGAAAUGCGUAGAUAUCAAGAGGAACACCUGAGGCGAAGGCGGGUUGCUGGGCCGACACUGACGCUGAUGCGCGAAAGCCAGGGGAGCAAACG